UACUUCCUCCGCCGCUGCUGGUUACCUGAGCAGAGGUGUGCUGCUGUCAGCGUCACUGCAACAACUUCUAUCACCGGUUGAAGGGUGCUCAGGCUCAGGGAGGAUGCAGGAUGAGCCGCCUGCUACUUUGAUACGAGCGUCUGAAAGAUGGCUGUUAAGAAACAAGCUAACAGAAGGAUGAUGCGUGGCACAAAGGACACAAGAAGGGAGCUUCUCACUUGGAUGACAAACGCACUCCGCCCUCUUCCGACCACAACAAGCAUUAAGUAGGCCUGCUACCAGAGCCGCGAAGACACACAUCAGGAGCAGCGCGCGCCUUAAAGCCCGUCUUCUUCAUCAUCUCAUAGGGCUCCAGAAGCGCCAUUGAUCCGCGUAUGGCCGCUUCUCGUGUCAAUCACGGCGGCGCAGCGUUUGGUGGAGCGGUGAGGAGCUGUCCGGUGCUGAAACAGAUGAAGUCAGCGUCAUCUGAUUUAUCAGAAUUAAGCACUUAAUU